rnacentral:rRNA from 1 species
GAUGAACGCUGCGGCGUGCCUAAUACAUGCAAGUCGAGCGAACGGACGAGAAGCUUGCUUCUCUGAUGUUAGCGGCGGACGGGUGAGUAACCCGUGGAUAACCUACCUAUAAGACUGGGAUAACUUCGGGAAACCGGAGCUAAUACCGGAUAAUAUUUUGAACCGCAUGGUUCAAAAGUGAAAGACGGUCUUGCUGUCACUUAUAGAUGGAUCCGCGCUGCAUUAGCUAGUUGGUAAGGUAACGGCUUACCAAGGCAACGAUGCAUAGCCGACCUGAGAGGGUGAUCGGCCGCACUGGAACUGAGACACGGUCCAGACUCCUACGGGAGGCAGCAGUAGGGAAUCUUCCGCAAUGGGCGAAAGCCUGACGGAGCAACGCCGCGUGAGUGAUGAAGGUCUUCGGAUCGUAAAACUCUGUUAUUAGGGAAGAACAUAUGUGUAAGUAACUGUGCACAUCUUGACGGUACCUAAUCAGAAAGCCACGGCUAACUACGUG